rnacentral:rRNA from 1 species
UGUAAGCGUAUACCAAAGUUGUUGCAGUUAAAACGCUCGUAGUCGGAAUUUGGCAGUUCCGGAAGUGUGCACGUCGUGUGCGCACUUUGCGGGGACUGCUUUUGUGGUCUUGCGUAGGAUGAGGCACUUUCAUUAGUGAACGUCCUCACGCAACCACUCUUUACUGUGAGAAAAUCAGAGUGCUCAAAGCAGGCAUUUGCCGUGAAUGUAUUAGCAUGGAAUAAUAGAAUAGGACUCGGUUCUAUUUUGUUGGUUUGUUGGGACUGAGUAAUGAUUAAGAGGGACAGUUGGGGGCAUUUGUAUUCCGGCGUUAGAGGUGAAAUUCUUAGAUUGCCGGAAGACAAACUGCUGCGAAAGCGUCUGCCAAGGAUGUUUUCAUUGA